rnacentral:miRNA from 1 species
ACUGUGAUUGACGCUAGUUCAUACAGUUGAUAUGUAAAUUGUAUUCACCCAUAUGUGAAUAUAAUUCACAUAUCAACUGUAUGCUAGCGUCAAUCACAGU